GCAGAUUCAGUGUAGCUGUGGAAAACAUUCACAGACUGUUUUAACUGCUUGCCAGUGUCAGCAUUGAUAGAUGAAAAGAUUCUCUGUAUGCAUGGUGGUCUAUCUCCGGAGUUGAACAAGCUUGAGCAAAUACUCAACCUGAAUCGCCCCACAGACGUGCCUGAUACUGGAUUGCUCUGUGAUCUUCUUUGGUCUGAUCCUUCCAAUGAAGCAACGGGCUGGGCCAUCAAUGAUCGAGGUGUUUCAUUCACAUUUGGUCCUGAUAAAGUUUCAGAAUUUCUUGAGAAGCAUGAUUUGGACCUUAUCUGCCGAGCACAUCAGGUUGUUGUGUUCUUAAAGAUGUGACCUACUUAUUACCUUAUAAACUACAAAGUGUAUCAAUAGUUUACUUAUGCUUUUGCAUUGUUGAAAUUGCUUGAUUGAUCUCCAGAGGACCAAGUUAUGGUUAUCGAGGCAGAGUGAUGCUUGCUUUUGAAGAUAAUGGAUCCUCAAAAAUUGGAGUCUGAUUUGACAAGCAGAUCCCUGAUGGUAAUGAUCUUGGUGGUUUGUGCGAGGAAGAUCAUGGCUUCUUCUGCUCUGCUGAAUCACUUCGCCCAGACUUUUCUGCUGGUGAAGAAGUUGAGAGGCUAGCUAUGACCGAGCUAAUAGAGGUCAUUUCAGAAGAGAACAAAUCUGGACCUCUGAUUGUGUUACUUAAGGAUGUAGAGAAAUCAUUCAUUGGAGUUACCGAGUCACUUUCAUCUUUGUGGAGCAAAUUUAAUCGCUUCCAUCUGGUGUUCUUAUUAUAGGAUCCCACACUCAGAUCUAAAUAAUUAAAUUUACAGGAUGAAGCUCUACUUACAGAUUGGAAGCAGCAGUUGGAUCGUGAUGUUGAAACCCUUAAAGCCAAAUCAAACAUUGGUAGCAUUCGCACGGACUGAGAUUGAUGGAUAUUGUGAAGGUGAACUAAUCAAGGUACCUUUGAUCUUUUAGGGAGUCAGCGGCCUUGCAAUCCCCCUCUGCAACCAUAAGAAUUUUUGUGUGCUACAGAUUUAGUACUGAUGAAUCCCUCUAUGAAGUUCCAAACAGCUGCACAAAUCUUAAGAGAGAGGUAGGAACAACAAUGGUCGUUGUUGCUGCACAAACAAAGGCUAUUGCUGGAUUCCGGCUCUCAUCAAGUGACUCCUCCCCCUCACGUUGACUUUGCGGACAGAUGUCUCAAUUCCAGUGGUGGAUCUACGAACAACAAUCCGAUGUCCUGAUCGAGAGCGAUGGAGCUAAUGUUUGAACUUGUGUGUUUGAACUUGUGAACUAUGGAUGUGAACCUGUGUGAAUUUGUGAACUUAUGUAUUUGGACUUAUGUGAAUUUGUGAACUUAUAUAUUUGGACUUAUGUGAAUUUGUGAUAUGAACAUAUAUCAAUGUGUUUGAAAUC